rnacentral:rRNA from 1 species
UUUGUGGGGUGCUCGAGUGGCGAACGGGUGAGUAACACGUGAGUAACCUGCCCUUGACUUUGGGAUAACUUCAGGAAACUGGGGCUAAUACCGGAUAGGAGCUCCUGCUGCAUGGUGGGGGUUGGAAAGUUUCGGCGGUUGGGGAUGGACUCGCGGCUUAUCAGCUUGUUGGUGGGGUAGUGGCUUACCAAGGCUUUGACGGGUAGCCGGCCUGAGAGGGUGACCGGCCACACUGGGACUGAGACACGG